rnacentral:tRNA from 1 species
GGUUUGUGGCUCACUGGUAGAGAGCUUGCCUCACAUGUGUGAGGCACUGGGUUCAAUUCUCAGCACCA